rnacentral:lncRNA from 1 species
CUUUCCCUAAUGAGGCCUCCCACCGCUGGUGCCCUUCCGCCUUUCGGAUUCCGUUCUUACAUUGAGGUAAAAUUUGCAAACCAGGACACUACUUCCGGUUUUGCGGAGUUUGUAAACCAAAUCAUUCGUCAACAGGACUGUUCUUAAACCGAGGUAUCACUGUUCUACCAAACUGAUCACUGCAGUUCCAACUGUCAGUACUGCUAAACCAGUACUGUGAAGAUCUCUCAUUAAAAGACAGACCUAGAAAGAAGGAUACACAUGGAAACCAUGGUGAGGGUGGCUGAGUGAUGGAACUGGUGAUUACAGAGGGCUGCAGAUAGCUCGGAGAUGAAUUGUAUGCCAAAAUGGAAAGGCAGAUUAAAUGUGGACAGAUGUGGCAGGCAGAUGUAGGCGGAACUGUACUGGUAGCGAGGUUUGGAGUCAGAAAACAGAUACUGAUUUCACAGAGCACCAGGCACCCCGAAGUUCAUCUGUUCAAUUUACCUUGGCUCCUGGCAUUUAAACCACGGUGGACAUUAUCAAACGUUUGUUCUGCGAAGCUUAACGAUUGCAUGUUUGCUAGACUUUCAAUAUUUACCUUUCAGGCUAUCUCAAGCCCUGUUCAUUCUGCAGCUGUUGUCUUCCCUCCACCCCACCCCACGAAAUAAGACAGGUGCUAACUGGCAACUUGUAUGUUACAUGUUCCUGAGUUCAAAGAAAUGACAAUCUUUUCAUUAUUUAGGUAAAUCCACGAGGGAAUUUUGCAGACAAUCCACAAGACAAUGCUUUCCCUUUCCCCCCCAGGUAAUUGGAGCUGCACACAAACACACCCCGCAUUUACCCCAAUAGUACUGCUUGUGAUCACUGCACAAAUAUUGAAGGAGAGGGGGGGGGGAUACCUUUUUGCAGGGGGAGAAACCUGUUUGAUCCCUUUUCUUGCAAUCCAGAGGUAUGCACUCCAGCGCAAGAAAAAUAGUUAAGGCACAUGGAAAGAAUAUUGCUUUCCUUAAGAUGAGAAUAUAAUGUUGAAAAGCCAAGGUAUUGCUGUGAAAACAGAUUACUCGCAAAUUUUUCCUCCUCUUUCCUUUUUAGGGAACUAUAUGGGACUCGUAUUUGCUUGAGUGGAGAAGCUCUGUGAGAAGAGGUCAGGGAAACUUCCAGCCAGAAGGGGAGCCAGCCAGGCUGGAAGUGAUGAAGCUGGGAGCCCAUGCUGAAGAAAAAAGGUAAAGGUAAAGGACCCCUAGACAAUUAAGUCCAAUCAAAGGCGACUAGGGGGCUGUGGCGCUCAUCUCUCUUUCAGGUCGAGGGAGCCGGCGUUUGUCCACAGACAGCUUUCUAGGUCAUGUGGCCAGCGUGACUAAACCACUUCUGGCACAAUGGAACACAGUGACGGAAACCAGAGUGCAUUGAAACGCCUUUUACCUUCCUGCCGCAGUGGUACCUAUUUAUCUGCUUGCACUGGUGUGCUUUCGAACUGCUAUGUUGGCAGGAGCUGGGACAGAGCGAUAGGAGCUCACCCCGUUUCAGGGAUUUGAACCACCGACCUUCCAAUCGCCAAGCCCAAGAGGCUCAGUGGUUUAGCACUGCUCAGGGUGAAGCAAUGAGAGGAGAACUGUGUAUGCCACCAUGAACUUCUUGGAGAAAAGGUGGGAUAUAAAUGCAGUAAUAAAUAAUCAUGCAAAUUCAAGAAGAUCUAUUUUGUUCCCACUGGGCCUGACUUUUACCCCAGAGUCCUUGAGAAAGCUCUGUACCUGCAUGUGCAGUUGUUCUCUCUCUGUGGGGAAAGAGGCGAUCUUUUAAAAUCCCAGAUGGGUCCAUAGUCCCCCAAACGUGGCUGUAACAUACCAAUAGCAGAACUAAUGCAGAUGGAUCCAAGUUGUGAAAAUUUGGUUUAUGCUUUGGUUGCAAAUGCCCUACCUACUUGCUUAUUUGCCUGUUUACUUGCUUUCUUCCCCCCCCCCCUUUUUUAAACCCUAUUUAAUAAAAAGCAUGGCGUAUCUGAAAACAAACAGAAAACUACUAACUCAUCAUCUAAGGGAAAUAAAAAAUAAGAUAUUGGCCUCUUUUCUUCCUUUUAUUUGUAUUAAAUGCAGCAUGCAUUUUUUUUACUUAUGUCAAUGGGUUUUGUUGCCUAUGUGUUGUUCAGCUGUUUCUCUGUAUCAAGCCAGCAGCGUUUUAGGUUCUGAUUCAUACAAAUAAAUGUACGGUAAGAACUAUGGAAGGCAGAGCAAGUUUUGUGGCAGGGCAAUAUACCAUUGAAUGGUAGAAACUGCCCAGUAUUGAUUGCUUGCUCAGGCUGCAUACCCUUCUCUCCCUUAAAAGAAUUGUGCAUUGCAGACUUUUUAAACAAAAACAACCCUGGAAAGUCUGGCACUAAGAUUUAGCAGAUCCUAGUCAUUUCUAGACACCCCCCAUCCCCCAUCCCUUCAGUCUGUCUCCCCUUCCCCCAACCACCAUCUGUCUGUCUCCCAUUGUAAAUGCUUCGCUUCCUGAUAAGACUUUCCAGUUCCCACUCCCCAGCCCUGCUGCCUCCCCAUCCAUCAGUUCCUUGCAGUAAAUGCUCUUCAGGCAGACUCUCAACAGUCUGCUCCUUCCUCCAUCUACCCUUCCUGCAGCCCGCCUCCCCACCCCUCCUACUUUUCACUCACCAAGAGCCAGGCUUACAAAGAGGCUUGCAACUAGUAUGGUCUUUUAGGUGUGCUUCACACUUCAGGCACCCCAGACAAAUCUUAUUAGGUAAGUCCUAAGGAGCCCAUUCGGGGACGCAGGUGGCGCUGUGGGUUAAACCACAGAGCCUAGGACUUGCUGAUCAGAAGGUCGGCGGUUCGAAUCCCACGACCGGGUGAGCUCCCGUUUCUCAGUCCCUGCUCCUGCCAACCUAGCAGUUCGAAAGCACGUCAAAGUGCAAGUAGAUAAAUAGGUACCGCUCUGGUGGGAAGGUAAACGGCGUUUCCGUGCACUGCUCUGGUUCGCCAGAAGCGCCUUACUCAUGCUGGCCACAUGACCCGGAAGCUGUACACCAGCUCCCUCAGCCAAGAAAGCGAGAUGAGUGCCGCAACCCCAGAGUCGGUCACAACUGGACCUAAUGGUCAGGGGUCCCUUUACCUUUACCUAAGGAGCUGCAUGUUUUAGUCACAUUGAAGGCAAUGGGACAAGCAACUCGUGGCCAACUUGAUUCUUACUGAUUUCAAUGGGUCUAAUUUAGCUGGACCCAACUUCUUGUCUAACCAGAAAACUCACCCAAAUGUCUUGAACCCCCCCAGGCUUUGCUGUGACAUUGCAGCCAACAUUCGCUGUGACCCCAGCAGACCCCUGUUAAAGGAAGAGACACCUGAAAUUGUUGUUCUUGCCCUUUCUGCUGUUUAAAAUGAGCAUCUGCUGUGCAAUUGUGUACCAGGCAAUGAUUUUGUUUUGGUUUCAGUCCUGCACAGACAUGCCAAGGAAAUAUUUUCUUCAUUGCAUUUUCUCUCUCUUGGAAGACUUUGGAGCAUUGCUACACAACCCGUGCUACAUCCUUUGCUCCUGUAAGCAGCAGGUUACUAAGCCACAAGGACUAAAAAUGAAAAUGAAGCACUGUCACUUAGACCUGCUUUGUUUUGACAGCAGAGGAGGAGCAUCCUGUCUGUUCCCAUUAGCUGAUAACUAGAAUCCGAGGCAAAGUGUGAAAUCCAGACCGUGCUCAGUUUUACACAGCGGUGCAGUGAAGGGGGAAGACAGCUCUGGGACUUUUUCCGGGCAUCUGCCGGAGUGCAAGAAUAGUGGGCAAAGUUUCCUUGCUCUGGCAAGCAUAUGAGGUGACAGCAAGGCUUUCAAGUUUGCACAGAGGAAGUCAGAGAAUGAGGAAGAUAAUCCGGCUGAGGCUGCUCAUUCCUUUUCUGUGAUGGAGCUCUUAUACUAGCAGUUUAAAAGACUAAUACGUCUUCACGAAAUUGCAUACCUAGUGAAAAGCUCACGGUUGCAUUCUAACUGGCUCAAGGUAUUUUGUUAAAUCUCGGAGCGCUAUAUACAAGUUGAACCUAUGCAGGAAAUAAGCAGUGCUGAGUUCAACGGUGAUGAUUCUCAGGAAGCUGGCAGUCAUGCCAAGCCUAAUAAAGUGGGUAUUAAACUCUC